CCAAUAAAGUAUGUUUUGUUUAGGUCUUCUAAACCUUUGGUAUAGGUUCGAAUCCUAUUGGA
rnacentral:tRNA from 1 species